rnacentral:rRNA from 1 species
GUCCUAGCCGUAAACGAUGGACACUAGGUGUUGGUGGUAUCAACCCCGCCAGUGCCGAAGCUAACGCAUUAAGUGUCCCGCCUGGGGAGUACGGCCGCAAGGCUAAAACUCAAAGGAAUUGACGGGGGCCCGCACAAGCAGCGGAGCGUGGGGUUUAAUUCGACGCAACGCGAAGAACCUUACCAGGACUUGACAUGACCAGGACAACGGCGGAAACGUCGUCUCCCCGCAAGGGGCCUGGCCACAGGUGUUGCAUGGCUGUCGU